rnacentral:rRNA from 1 species
AUUGAACGCUGGCGGCAGGCCUAACACAUGCAAGUCGAGCGGCAGCGGAAAGUAGCUUGCUACUUUGCCGGUGAGCGGCGGACGGGUGAGUAAUGUCUGGGAAACUGCCUGAUGGAGGGGGAUAACUACUGGAAACGGUAGCUAAUACCGCAUAAUGUCGCAAGACCAAAGAGGGGGACCUUCGGGCCUCUUGCCAUCAGAUGUGCCCAGAUGGGAUUAGCUAGUAGGUGGGGUAACGGCUCACCUAGGCGACGAUCCCUAGCUGGUCUGAGAGGAUGACCAGCCACACUGGAACUGAGACACGGUCCAGACUCCUACGGGAGGCAGCAGUGGGGAAUAUUGCACAAUGGGCGCAAGCCUGAUGCAGCCAUGCCGCGUGUAUGAAGAAGGCCUUCGGGUUGUAAAGUACUUUCAGCGGGGAGGAAGGUGCUGAGGUUAAUAACCUCAGCAAUUGACGUUACCCGCAGAAGAAGCACCGGCUAACUCCGUGCCAGCCGCCGCGGUAA